rnacentral:rRNA from 1 species
UACAGAGGGGGCAAGCGUUAUUCGGAAUUAUUGGGCGUAAAGGGCGCGUAGGCGGCCUUGCAAGUGACGGGUGAAAUCCCUCGGCUUAACCGAGGAACUGCCUGUCAACUGCGUGGCUUGAGACCAGGAGAGGUGAGUGGAAUUCCCAGUGUAGCGGUGAAAUGCGUAGAUAUUGGGAGGAACACCAGUGGCGAAGGCGGCUCACUGGACUGGUACUGACGCUGAUGCGCGAAAGCGUGGGGAGCAAACUAGGGAGUUAAGAAACCCGGAGUAC